UCUACUAAGGCUGAUCGGAUACCACCGCGGCCAAUCAAGCCCAAACCUACCUUACCCCAGCCUGUUACCACGUGGAAGGCCACCCCGCCGAAGCCGACCACGCCAAUGCCCACCCUGCCGCCGCCUACUCCGCCGCAGCCCACCCCGCCGCAGCUCACCACGCCACAGCCCACCACGCCGAAGCUCACUAUGGCAAUGCCCACCCCGCCGAAGCCAACCCCGCCAAUGCCAACUCCGUCGAAGCCAAUCCCGGCGAAGCCAAUCCCGGCAAAGCCCACCACGCCAGAGCCCACCACGCCAGAGCCCACCACGCCAGAGCUCACCACGGCGGAGUCCACCACGCCGAAGCCCACCACGCCGAAGCCGACCACGCCGAAGCCCACCACGCCCAAGCCCACCACGCCGGAGCCCACCACGCCCCAGCCCACCACGCCACAGCCCACCACGCCAAAGCCCACCACGCCAAAACCAACCCCGCCAAAGCCAACCGCGCCAAAGCCAACCCCGCCAAAGCCCACCCCACCGAUGCCAACCCCACCGCAGCCCACCACGCCGAAACCAAUUCCAACCCCACCGAAGCCCACCACGCCGAAGCCCACCACGCCGAAGCCCACCACGCCGAAGCCCACCACGCCGAAGCCCACCACGCCAAAGCAUACCACGCCAAAGCCCACCACGCCAGAGCCCACCACGCCAAAGCCAACCCCGCCAAUUCCAACCCCACCGAAGCCCACCACGCCCAUGCCCACCCCGCCAAAGCCAACCACGCCAACGCCUACCACGCCAAUACCUACAAUGCCAGAGCCUCCUACGCCGAAGCCAAGCGGACCACGUAUGAGUGGCGAGUCGCUCAUCUGCACUGUCAGCGUGGCGGGACAAGAUAGGCUCCGGAUUCCACCGGACGGCAUCUGCAACUUCUUGUUCUACGACUCGCUCUACAGCUCGCAAGGCGACACUCUGUUGAAGGAGCCAGGCCCGCAGCUGCUCAAGUUCCUGGGUGCCGCUGCCAUCUCCAAAGACACAGACCACGGCUGCUCCGUGGACAUCAACGACGUACGAGCAUUCAGCGAUCACCUGUUGGAGCAGAGGGGGAAGAAGAAGAUUAUAGAAUUGGCCAAACAGAAGAUCAUCGACUACGGGUUCCUAACGCUGGAUCAUUCCAGGUCGUCCAUACCGAGCAUCCAAGAAGCUCUGAGUGCCCUCAAGGCUGUGACGAAACUAGUCAAAGAUGGGGCAGGCAAGACCGGCGUCACGGUUCUGGGCAUCUACAGCAAGCUCAAGACCAGCUGCCAGACAAUUUCCGAUAUAUUCGGGCAAGGGUUCAUACCAUCGGCAAUAGUAAUCUUGGGCCACAUCUCCUACCCUGAUCGGCACGCGCAGGGGUGCCACAUCCUGCCGCCAAAUCUAUACGGCGUUCCACGAGAUAUGCUCCAAAAGAUAGGCUACGGCCACUUAUUCGAAGACGGUGUGGCCCUGGGCCGGUGCAUCGAGGAGAAAAUUCAGUUCACGGCUAAAAAUACACGUGAAGGUCUCGCUGACUCUCAAGGGGCGCCGCUACAAAGCCAAGCCGGAAGGAGACCCAUCAUAUGUCGGCAUCGGAAACUUCGAUCUGCUCCGCGAAUGCAGCCGGGCUAAGCUGAAUCCGAAAUACGAUCAAGACGCUCCAGCGGUCCGGGCGACGAAGGCGCGGGCACCAGCACUGGAGCGCAUGGAAUGUAUGGUGACAUACCAACGACGAGGCGGAAGUGGUGCGUCUCGUCAUCUUCCUCCUCGGCGUUUUCGGCGUCGUCCUAUUGAUCGGCGCCGUCGUCUAUGCCCUGGAUGCACCCGAAGAUGACGCAGGCGGUGACUACUCGUCUAUCUCUGAUGACCAGAACUCGUCGAGCAUGGAAAACGCGGCAGGCGCAGUCCAGAUUGGUAACGCACCUAGCGACAAUCGCAAGCUUCCGAAUGGACGCCGUAUACCAAGCCAUCCAGAAAGCAUUCCAAAAACCCCAGUGAUAAUCAGCACGAAGUCUAUUCCACCUCGCAAUUCGCCUCCCGCAGCGCAUUCGAGGGCUCCGCCACCUUCUACCACGGCUGAACGGAUACUACCAACGCCAAUCAAGCCCAAACCUACUUUACUCAAGCCUACUAUGCCACCUCGCAAUUCGCCUCCCGCAGUGCAUUCGAGGGCUCCGCCACCUUCUACCACGGCUGAACGGAUACUACCAACGCCAAUCAAGCCCAAACCUACUUUACUCAAGCCUACUAUGCCACCUCGCAAUUCGCCUCCCGCAGUGCAUUCGAGGGCUCCGCCACCUUCUACCACGGCU